rnacentral:rRNA from 1 species
UACGUAGGGGGCAAGCGUUGUCCGGAUUUAUUGGGCGUAAAGAGCGUGUAGGCGGCUAGGUAGGUCCGUUGUGAAAACUCGAGGCUCAACCUCGAGACGCCGAUGGAAACCAUCUAGCUAGAGUCCGGAAGAGGAGAGUGGAAUUCCUGGUGUAGCGGUGAAAUGCGCAGAUAUCAGGAAGAACACCCGUGGCUAAGGCGGCUCUCUAGUACGGUACUGACGCUGAGACGGCGAAAGCGUGGGGGAGCGAACAGG